UCAAAGAUUAAGCCAUGCAUGUCUCAGUACAASCCAAAUUAAGGUGAAACCGCGAAAGGCUCAUUAAAUCAGUUAUGGUUCCUUAGAUCGUACCCACAAUUACUUGGAUAACUGUGGUAAUUCUAGAGCUAAUACAUGCAAACAGAGCUCCGACCGGAGACGGAAGGAGUGCUUUUAUUAGAUCAAAACCAAUCGGUGGCGGGUUCGCUCGUUAUCGUAUAACUUGGUGACUCUGAAUAACUUUACGCUGAUCGCACGGUCAUCGCACCGGCGACGCAUCUUUCAAAUGUCUGCCUUAUCAACUGUCGAUGGUAGGUUCUGCGCCUACCAUGGUUGUAACGGGUAACGGGGAAUCAGGGUUCGAUUCCGGAGAGGGAGCCUGAGAAACGGCUACCACAUCCAAGGAAGGCAGCAGGCGCGCAAAUUACCCACUCCCGGC
rnacentral:rRNA from 1 species